UGUGCAUGUGUGUAUAUACGAUCGAUCAGGGAGAGAGGGUGAGGUGAAACCUUAGUUUCACCAAAAUCCAUCAAAUUGAAGGGGGAUUGAAGGGCUAAACUAAUGCAUGAACCAAGAUUUUCGAUCACUUUAGCGUUUCUACCAUCAUGAACGUGUCAAGGAGAGGUCAAGCAUAGGAGGAUAACGGGUCAAGAUAAGGCAAGGUGACAAAUACACUUAUUGGAGUACUCGAGGUAUGGGAUCGUUGGCUUCAUGAAGAAAUGGAGCUGGAUUUGGAUAAGAGUAUUUAAGAAAGCGCUUGGACAAUUCCACGACUACUUUAUAGAAUGCUCUACGAAAUUCUAUUAUAUAGUUUAAUGUUGUAUGGUAUGUUAAUGACUAAUGGUUUGGUUGUACGUGGUGUCCACAGGUAUCGCUUGGGUUUUCUCUACAUUUAUUGAAGUGAAGCGGACUUAGUUCGAGUUGAGAGCAAGGAUUGUACGGGGUAGAAUGGUCACAUAGUGUAACUCAUAUAGGUUUUGAAGUAUUAAUGUUAUAAAACGUUAUAAAUCCGUUUUAAUGAAUAUAUGGCAUUUCGCAUUUGAACCUUCAUGUGUUUGAUAUGUCUAUUAAAGAACGAAAUUUUUGGGC